UACGAAGGGGGCUAGCGUUGUUCGGAAUUACUGGGCGUAAAGCGCGCGCAGGCGGCUAUCCAAGUCAGUGGUGAAAGCCCGGAGCUCAACUCCGGAACUGCCAUUGAAACUGUUUAGCUUGAGUAUGAGAGAGGUGAGUGGAAUUCCCAGUGUAGAGGUGAAAUUCGUAGAUAUUGGGAAGAACACCGGUGGCGAAGGCGGCUCACUGGUUCAUUACUGACGCUCAGGCGCGACAGCGUGGGGAUCAAACAGG
rnacentral:rRNA from 1 species